GGGGUGGAAAAUAUCAGACCUACAAAACUACUCAAGACUUGAUCAUCAGUGUGAUUUUUGUCUGUCCUGGUCAUCAGUGUCUCUACACAACAGUCAGCAGGAAAUGGCAAACAACAGAAGUCUGAUAAGUGCUCAGGAAAAAUGCCAUAUGGCAUGUGCAUCAUCACAAAAAACACGAUGAGCUCUAAACUCUGCAAAUGUCUUCGUGCCACAGGGAUGCACAACCUACAUUAGCAAAAAAAAAAGUCUACCAGCUCUUGCUCUUUGGUCAAACAGCAAACCGGAACACCGAGCCGUGGUGUUUGUAAUUGAUUUCGGUCAGGAGAGCUGAAGAUACUUUUGUAGCGGAGGAAGUAUAAGAACGAUUAAAAAUGACAAGACCAUCUGUCAUUAAUGAAGAAAGUAUCUCGGCCUGGUUCUUCCUUGUGGUGGCAAGCAAAAGAAAACCAAACCUGUCAUUGUUAACUGCAUGUAGAAAACUACUGAGAACAGCUCUGGCAGAAUUUUAAUGUCUAAGAACUGCAAAGGACAGGUUAACUAUGAGAUUAUUGCACCACAAAAUCAAAUUGAAAAGCACCCAGUGUAAUUCCAGCAUAGAACACACACUUUCCACUGCCAAGGAGUCUUUUGCUGGAGUCACUGAUUUUUCAGGUGAUUGCACACUGAGGAUAACUUAUUUCUCCAGUGAGAUGCUGAUACAACAUAUAAGGAGAAAAAAUGGGCAAUAAAUGCUCCUCUGCUUGACAGAUGCCUGCAAAAUUUCAUCACACCUUGGACCUCUUUGGGUCUUUAAGAGAGAAGGUUUCAGCCUCCCAGGAGCAAAGAUUUAUAGCCAAGGAGUUCUAUUGGCCCUGCACCAACGAUUAAAGUCUGCAAACUGUUGCAAGCAGCCCUUUCUGUGUAAAACUACACUUCAGAUUAACUUCUAACUCAAGGACAAAUCAAAAACUGAAAAGUGUCAUUAGGAUCCAUCCAUAACAAUCAAAUAUUGUUUUUUACUGACAUCUGACAAUGAUCAAAAAGAAGUAAGAGCAGCUCGUUCCUGAUUUCACGUGAGGAGCAGUGCUGAGCUACUUAUUCUGCCCCCAAACAGAAUUUUGCCAUGAUUCAGUCCUCCCUCCUUGCUGCUGCCAGCCUACUUUCUGCCAAAGUGUUUUGGAACAAAGGAAAAACACC